rnacentral:rRNA from 1 species
GUAGGGAAUCUUCGGCAAUGGACGAAAGUCUGACCGAGCAACGCCGCGUGAGUGAAGAAGGUUUUCGGAUCGUAAAACUCUGUUGGUAGAGAAGAACGUUGGUGAGAGUGGAAAGCUCAUCAAGUGACGGUAACUACCCAGAAAGGGACGGCUAACUACGUGCCAG